rnacentral:rRNA from 1 species
CUCAGAUUGAACGCUGGCGGCAGGCUUAACACAUGCAAGUCGAGCGGUAGCACAGAGGAACUUGUUCCUUGGGUGACGAGCGGCGGACGGGUGAGUAAUGCUUGGGAACAUGCCUUGAGGUGGGGGACAACAGUUGGAAACGACUGCUAAUACCGCAUAAUGUCUACGGACCAAAGGAGGGGAUCUUCGGACCUUUCGCCUUUAGAUUGGCCCAAGUGAGAUUAGCUAGUUGGUGAGGUAAAGGCUCACCAAGGCGACGAUCUCUAGCUGGUUUGAGAGGAUGAUCAGCCACACUGGGACUGAGACACGGCCCAGACUCCUACGGGAGGCAGCAGUGGGGAAUAUUGGACAAU